UGCACACAUAGUGCCUGGCUCAUAGUAGGGGCUCCAUAAAUAAUUUUUCUCUGAAUAAAAACUUUUUAACAAGCCUACCCUCAGUGCCUUCUGACUCAGCCCAAAUUUUAAGACUUGGCCUCCAAGGCCCUCCAUGUUCUGGUCUCACUGUGUCCAUCUGGUCAUGCCUUGUCAUAGAUCCCAAUCUGAGCUCCCAACACCACCCAGCUGGGCUCCCUGUGUCCUCCACUUUCAGUAUUGCCUCAGCACCUUUGCUUACAGCUUUCUCAUGGCCUGGAAUGCCCUCCCUCCUCCUGCCUGUUUAAAUUUUCCUCCAUAGAAUGAGAUCCUGCAGUCUCCCCUCCUCUGGACUUCAGUAGAACUGAGGAGAAAAAGUUUCCUAUUUCGACUAUUGUGUUCCAGUGAAUUGUCAUGAACUAUUUCUUGUGUCUAUUUCUCAUCUCCUAGCAAUGAAUCUAGUUUACUUUCCCCUUAAUUUCCUGUUCAGAUGUUUUGUUCUUUUGUAAAAUAUACUGGACUUCAAGAAAUCUCCUUCCAGUGUUGUAGCCUAAGGCAGAGCUGAUGUUAGUUGCUACGGUGUUGCUAAGGAAAGUCAUUUAGCCAGGGCAGAUAAUUAACUUUAUCAGUGUGUGUGGGUAGGUCGCAGAAGAGAAGAACUGGGCGCUCCAGUUCUCCAAGAGGAAAAAAGUCCUUUGAUUCAUAGGAGGAGCCCGCAGAGGGAUGGAUCUUGCCUGGCUGACACCUCUGUGGGUGACUGGGUUGAUUCCUCUGCUGCCACCCCCAUCCCCUGGGUGUCAUGUUCCAAACCCACCCAAAGACCAGACAGAUGGGCCCCUUUCAUGAUGAGACAAGAGACACUUGCAGAAUACAAAUCACCACCUCGCAUUAGGCUCCCCAACAGCACUAGAAAUGGAAGUGGAAGAGACACACAGAAUCCAGCUUUUAAGACUUCGGUUGUUAAUGUCAAUGGACGGAAUUCAUGUAAAAGGAGGCAAACAGGCUUGUUUCUGCAGUUUGGCCUGACAUUUUUUUUUCCUUCCCAGCAGAGAUAAAUUGCGACAUUUGGCAGCCCUUAAAAUGUAUCACAUGCCUUUGUAAUGAUUUGCUUAUAGAGUUUUUAUGGAUAAUAACAACAACUAAUAUUUAUUGAGCACUAACUACAUGUCAAGCAACUAAUACAUGUUUAUGUCAUUUAAUCCUUAUAUCAACUCUAUGAAAUAGGUUCUUGGAUUAACCUCUCUUUAGGCAUGUGAAGCGUAGGAAGUGUGAUUCAUUUGCCCAAGGUCACAUGGUAAGUGGGGGAGGUAGCAC
rnacentral:lncRNA from 1 species